UGGGGAAUAUUGGACAAUGGGCGAAAGCCUGAUCCAGCCAUGCCGCGUGUGUGAAGAAGGUCUUCGGAUUGUAAAGCACUUUAAGUUGGGAGGAAGGGCAUUAACCUAAUACGUUAGUGUUUUGACGUUACCGACAGAAUAAGCACCGGCUAACUCUGUGCCAGCAGCCGCGGUAAUACAGAGGGUGCAAGCGUUAAUCGGAAUUACUGGGCGUAAAUCGCGCGUAGGUGGUUUGUUAAGUUGGAUGUGAAAUCCCCGGGCUCAACCUGGGAACUGCAUUCAAAACUGACUGACUAGAGUAUGGUAGAGGGUGGUGGAAUUUCCUGUGUAGCGGUGAAAUGCGUAGAUAUAGGAAGGAACACCAGUGGCGAAGGCGACCACCUGGACUAAUACUGACACUGAGGUGCGAAAGCGUGGGGAGCAAACA
rnacentral:rRNA from 1 species